GAUGAACGCUGGCGGCGUGCCUAAUACAUGCAAGUCGAGCGAACGGACGAGAAGCUUGCUUUUCUGAUGUUAGCGGCGGACGGGUGAGUAACACGUGGAUAACCUACCUAUAAGACUGGGAUAACUUCGGGAAACCGGAGCUAAUACCGGAUAAUAUUUUGAACCGCAUGGUUCAAAAGUGAAAGACGGUCUUGCUGUCACUUAUAGAUGGAUCCGCGCUGCAUUAGCUAGUUGGUAAGGUAACGGCUUACCAAGGCAACGAUGCAUAGCCGACCUGAGAGGGUGAUCGGCCACACUGGAACUGAGACACGGUCCAGACUCCUACGGGAGGCAGCAGUAGGGAAUCUUCCGCAAUGGGCGAAAGCCUGACGGAGCAACGCCGCGUGAGUGAUGAAGGUCUUCGGAUCGUAAAACUCUGUUAUUAGGGAAGAACAUAUGUGUAAGUAACUGUGCACAUCUUGACGGUACCUAAUCAGAAAGCCACGGCUAACUACGAG
rnacentral:rRNA from 1 species